rnacentral:rRNA from 1 species
GACGAACGCUGGCGGCGUGCUUAACACAUGCAAGUCGAACGGUGAAGCGAGUGCUUGCACUCGUGGAUCAGUGGCGAACGGGUGAGUAACACGUGAGUAACCUGCCCAUCACUCUGGGAUAAGCACUGGAAACGGUGUCUAAUACUGGAUACGACCAACCCUUGCAUGGGGUGUUGGUGGAAAGAUUUAUCGGUGAUGGAUGGACUCGCGGCCUAUCAGCUUGUUGGCGGGGUAAUGGCCCACCAAGGCGACGACAGGUAGCCGGCCUGAGAGGGUGACCGGCCACACUGGGACUGAGACACGGCCCAGACUCCUACGGGAGGCAGCAGUGGGGAAUAGUGCACAAUGGGCGAAAGCCUGAUGCAGCGACGCCGCGUGAGGGAUGACGGCCUUCGGGUUGUAAACCUCUUUCAGCAGGGAAGAAGCGAAAGUGACGGUACCUGCAGAAGAAGCACCGGCUAACUACGUG